UACGUAGGGUCCGAGCGUUGUCCGGAAUUACUGGGCGUAAAGAGCUCGUAGGUGGUUGUCGCGUUGUUCGUGAAAACUCACAGCUUAACUGUGGGCGUGCGGGCGAUACGGGGCAGACUGGAGUACUGCAGGGGAGACUGGAAUUCCUGGUGUAGCGGUGGAAUGCGCAGAUAUCAGGAGGAACACCGGUGGCGAAGGCGGGUCUCUGGGCAGUAAC
rnacentral:rRNA from 1 species